CAUGUGUGUGAUUAUCUGUCACAAUUUCGUUUUCUUUACAGCAGCCCCUUUGCUCAGUUGAAUGUCACUUCUCCGUGUCUCUUCCUAUUCCUGGUGUCUGCUCACUUCCUUCUGCAUCCACCUCCUCAUAGCCAUGGCCAGUGUUCCAUGAGGAACCUCUCCGGGAAUCCUGCAAGCUGGCUGGGAAAAUCAAGCGGGAGAAUUAAAAAAAAUACUCAACACAGGGCCCGGUAGCCGAGAGCUCAUGGUGUUUUCAUGGGCGAGGCCCCUUUGCUGGGCGUGCGUGGGAACAAGGACCUCGCGGUGACCUUCAGGGGGCUGCGGCUCCGUGGGUGAGUCGGGUGCCACGGCUUCCGACUGUGGCCGGGGCUCGGGGUCCCCG
rnacentral:lncRNA from 1 species